rnacentral:rRNA from 1 species
GAUUAACACUGGCGGUAUGCCUAAUACAUGCAAGUCGAACGGAAUUAAUCUUUCGGGAUUAAUUUAGUGGCGAACGGGUGAGUAACACGUGCUUAAUCUACCCUUAAAUCAGGAAUACGUACUGGAAACGGUAAAUAAUACCUGAUGUGUUUUUUAAAACGCAUGUUUUAAAAAACAAAGCAACUUCUGGUUGUGUUUAAGGAUGAGAGCGCGUCGCAUUAGAUUGUUGGUGGGGUAACGGCCUACCAAGUUAAUGAUGCGUAGCUGAACUGAGAGGUUGAACAGCCACACUGGGAUUGAGAUACGGCCCAGACUCCUACGGGAGGCAGCAGUAAGGUAAUUUUUCAACAAUGGGCGCAAGCCUGAUGAAGCAAUACCGCGUGAUUGAUGUAAGGUUUUCGGAUCGUAAAAUCUGUGGUAAAGAAAGAAAAG